rnacentral:rRNA from 1 species
GAUGAACGCUGGCGGCGUGCCUAAUACAUGCAAGUCGAGCGAACAGACGAGGAGCUUGCUCCUUUGACGUUAGCGGCGGACGGGUGAGUAACACGUGGAUAACCUAUCUAUAAGACUGGGAUAACUUCGGGAAACCGGAGCUAAUACCGGAUAACAUGUUGAACCGCAUGGUUCAACAGUGAAAGACGGUCUUGCUGUCACUUAUAGAUGGAUCCGCGCCGCAUUAGCUAGUUGGUAAGGUAACGGCUUACCAAGGCAACGAUGCGUAGCCGACCUGAGAGGGUGAUCGGCCACACUGGACCUGAGACACGGUCCAGACACCUACGGGAGGCAGCAGUAGGGAAUCUUCCGCAAUGGGCGACAGCAUGACGGAGCAACGCCGCGUGAGUGAAGAAAGUCUUCGAAUCGUAAAACUCUGUUAUUAGGGAAGAACAAAUGUGUAAGUAACUAUGCACGUCUUGACGGUACCUAAUCAGAAAGCCACGGCUAACUACGUG